rnacentral:rRNA from 1 species
CAAGCAGUCGAACGGCAGCGGACCUUCGGGUGCCGGCGAGUGGCGAACGGGUGAGUAAAGUAUCGGAACGUACCUUUCAGUGGGGGAUAACGUAGCGAGAGUUACGCUAAUACCGCAUAUUCUGUGAGCAGGAAAGCAGGGGAUCGCAAGACCUUGCGCUGAUUGAGCGGCCGAUAUCAGAUUAGCUAGUUGGUGAGGUAAAAGCUCACCAAGGCGACGAUCUGUAGCGGGUCUGAGAGGAUGAUCCGCCACACUGGAACUGAGACACGGUCCAGACUCCUACGGGAGGCAGCAGUGGGGAAUUUUGGACAAUGGGGGCAACCCUGAUCCAGCCAUGCCGCGUGAGUGAAGAAGGCCUUCGGGUUGUAAAGCUCUUUCGGCCGGGAAGAAAUCGCGUCAGUUAAUACCUGGUGUGGAUGACGGUACCGGAAUAAGAAGCACCGGCUAACUACGUGCCAGCAGCCGCGGUAAUACGUAGGGUGCGAGCGUUAAUCGGAAUUACUGGGCGUAAAGCGUGCGCAGGCGGUUUUGUAAGACAGGCGUGAAAUCCCCGGGCUCAACCUGGGAACUGCGCUUGUGACUGCAUCACUCGAGUACGGCAGAGGGGGGUGGAAUUCCACGUGUAGCAGUGAAAUGCGUAGAGAUGUGGAGGAACACCGAUGGCGAAGGCAGCCCCCUGGGCCGAUACUGACGCUCAUGCACGAAAGCGUGGGUAGCAAACAGGAUUAGAUACCCUGGUAGUCCACGCCCUAAACGAUGUCAACUAGGUGUUGGGUGGGUAAAACCAUUUAGUACCGUAGCUAACGCGUGAAGUUGACCGCCUG